GAGGCUGUGUGUGACAGACUGAUACAAGUGGGUCCUCUGAGAAUCCAGUUGUAGUCCCACAUGAGAUGGAGGCUCAGUCACCUGGUUGGUUUUUCUGGCCCUAAUAAAACAUGUUUCUACAAGUGAUCCUGGAAGUCCCGUUAAAUGUAUGUACAAUAAAAAUCUGAAUAUGGAAAUAUAUUUCAGAAUAUACAUACAUUUACAAAUAGUGGACAAAUGUGUCCUUCCUGCCCCGAGCAACCAAGGCUCCUCGGGUGUAAAUAUGAUUAAUAACCAAACGUACAUGAGAAAUGAGCAUUGGAACAUUAAACUGUGAUAGUAACUAAAGAAUCCAUCUUCAAGAUCAUUUAAGUUGAUGUGUAUUUUGACACUUUAGUUUUGUCCAUGUCCCAUUCAGUAAAAUUCAGGAGGUGAGAUUUAUACCGCAGUAAGGCACCAGGUGGCGAUCUAGAAACUUUGGCUUCACUUUUAGUCGAUGGUUUGAACUAUUCUAGAUCAGUUAUGACUCUAGAGCAGUUUGGCUAAAGCUUCACUCUACAUAGUUUGAAAUAAAAUAAAAGUAUGUGUUCAGCUCCUGACUCAGUCUGCUGUAUGUCCUCGUUCAGCCUGUUUCAGAGCCUCAGGAUCUUGUUUCGAAAGCUUUGUCCCUCAACUUGUCUCAGUACAAUAAAUCGUAUCAGCUGGACUGAUGAGGAGUUUAGGAGCUUCAGUAUAGGAGCUCCCUUUACCACUGAUUGAUUGAUAUUUUGCUCUGCAAAACUUUUACGUUUACAAGAAACCUAUGUUACAUAGACUAGAGGGAACACACAGAGGAGAAGUAUUAACCCUUUAGUGUAACUCUUAGCACGAGAGCAAAUUAGC